rnacentral:rRNA from 1 species
AGAGUUUGAUCCUGGCUCAGGACGAACGCUGGCGGCGUGCCUAAUACAUGCAAGUCGAACGAACUCUGGUAUUGAUUGGUGCUUGCAUCAUGAUUUACAUUUGAGUGAGUGGCGAACUGGUGAGUAACACGUGGGAAACCUGCCCAGAAGCGGGGGAUAACACCUGGAAACAGAUGCUAAUACCGCAUAACAACUUGGACCGCAUGGUCCGAGUUUGAAAGAUGGCUUCGGCUAUCACUUUUGGAUGGUCCCGCGGCGUAUUAGCUAGAUGGUGGGGUAACGGCUCACCAUGGCAAUGAUACGUAGCCGACCUGAGAGGGUAAUCGGCCACAUUGGGACUGAGACACGGCCCAAACUCCUACGGGAGGCAGCAGUAGGGAAUCUUCCACAAUGGACGAAAGUCUGAUGGAGCAACGCCGCGUGAGUGAAGAAGGGUUUCGGCUCGUAAAACUCUGUUGUUAAAGAAGAACAUAUCUGAGAGUAACUGUUCAGGUAUUGACGGUAUUUAACCAGAAAGCCACGGCUAACUACGUGCCAGCAGCCGCGGUAAUACGUAGGUGGCAAGUGUUGUCCGGAUUUAUUGGGCGUAAAGCGAGCGCAGGCGGUUUUUUAAGUCUGAUGUGAAAGCCUUCGGCUCAACCGAAGAAGUGCAUCGGAAACUGGGAAACUUGAGUGCAGAAGAGGACAGUGGAACUCCAUGUGUAGCGGUGAAAUGCGUAGAUAUAUGGAAGAACACCAGUGGCGAAGGCGGCUGUCUGGUCUGUAACUGACGCUGAGGCUCGAAAGUAUGGGUAGCAAACAGGAUUAGAUACCCUGGUAGUCCAUACCGUAAACGAUGAAUGCUAAGUGUUGGAGGGUUUCCGCCCUUCAGUGCUGCAGCUAACGCAUUAAGCAUUCCGCCUGGGGAGUACGGCCGCAAGGCUGAAACUCAAAGGAAUUGACGGGGGCCCGCACAAGCGGUGGAGCAUGUGGUUUAAUUCGAAGCUACGCGAAGAACCUUACCAGGUCUUGACAUACUAUGCAAAUCUAAGAGAUUAGACGUUCCCUUCGGGGGCAUGGAUACAGGUGGUGCAUGGUUGUCGUCAGCUCGUGUCGUGAGAUGUUGGGUUAAGUCCCGCAACGAGCGCAACCCUUAUUAUCAGUUGCCAGCAUUAAGUUGGGCACUCUGGUGAGACUGCCGGUGACAAACCGGAGGAAGGUGGGGAUGACGUCAAAUCAUCAUGCCCCUUAUGACCUGGGCUACACACGUGCUACAAUGGAUGGUACAACGAGUUGCGAACUCGCGAGAGUAAGCUAAUCUCUUAAAGCCAUUCUCAGUUCGGAUUGUAGGCUGCAACUCGCCUACAUGAAGUCGGAAUCGCUAGUAAUCGCGGAUCAGCAUGCCGCGGUGAAUACGUUCCCGGGCCUUGUACACACCGCCCGUCACACCAUGAGAGUUUGUAACACCCAAAGUCGGUGGGGUAACCCUUUAGGAACCAGCCGCCUAAGGUGGGACAGAUGAUUAGGGUGAAGUCGUAACAAGGUAACC